GUAGUGGUGUCUUUAGACACCACCAUCUAUAUUUGAAAUAUUAUUU
rfam:Picea glauca, whole genome shotgun sequence.